rnacentral:rRNA from 1 species
ACGACGUCAAAUCAUCAUGCCCUUUAUGUCCUGGGCUACACACGUACUACAAUGGCCGUUACAACGGGAAGCGAAGGAGCAAUCCGGAGCAAAUACCCUUAAAGGCGGUCCCAGUUCAGAUUGUGGGCUGAAACUCGCCCACAUGAAGGCGGAAUUGCUAGUAAUUGCAGAUCAGCAUGCUGCAGUGAAUACGUUCCCGGGCCUU